rnacentral:rRNA from 1 species
GAUGAACGCUGGCGGCGUGCCUAAUACAUGCAAGUCGAGCGAACGGACGAGAAGCUUGCUUCUCUGAUGUUAGCGGCGGACGGGUGAGUAACACGUGGAUAACCUACCUAUAAGACUGGGAUAACUUCGGGAAACCGGAGCUAAUACCGGAUAAUAUUUUGAACCGCAUGGUUCAAAAGUGAAAGACGGUCUUGCUGUCACUUAUAGAUGGAUCCGCGCUGCAUUAGCUAGUUGGUAAGGUAACGGCUUACCAAGGCAACGAUGCAUAGCCGACCUGAGAGGGUGAUCGGCCACACUGGAACUGAGACACGGUCCAGACUCCUACGGGAGGCAGCAGUAGGGAAUCUUCCGCAAUGGGCGAAAGCCUGACGGAGCAACGCCGCGUGAGUGAUGAAGGUCUUCGGAUCGUAAAACUCUGUUAUUAGGGAAGAACAUAUGUGUAAGUAACUGUGCACAUCUUGACGGUACCUAAUCAGAAAGCCACGGCUAACUACGUGCCAGCAGCCGCGGUAAUACGUAGGUGGCAAGCGUUAUCCGGAAUUAUUGGGCGUAAAGCGCGCGUAGGCGGUUUUUUAAGUCUGAUGUGAAAGCCCACGGCUCAACCGUGGAGGGUCAUUGGAAACUGGAAAAUUUGAGUGCAGAAGAGGAAAGUGGAAUUCCAUGUGUAGCGGUGAAAUGCGCAGAGAUAUGGAGGAACACCAGUGGCGAAGGCGACUUUCUGGUCUGUAACUGACGCUGAUGUGCGAAAGCGUGGGGAUCAAACAGGAUUAGAUACCCUGGUAGUCCACGCCGUAAACGAUGAGUGCUAAGUGUUAGGGGGUUUCCGCCCCUUAGUGCUGCAGCUAACGCAUUAAGCACUCCGCCUGGGGAGUACGACCGCAAGGUUGAAACUCAAAGGAAUUGACGGGGACCCGCACAAGCGGUGGAGCAUGUGGUUUAAUUCGAAGCAACGCGAAGAACCUUACCAAAUCUUGACAUCCUUUGACAACUCUAGAGAUAGAGCCUUCCCCUUCGGGGGACAAAGUGACAGGUGGUGCAUGGUUGUCGUCAGCUCGUGUCGUGAGAUGUUGGGUUAAGUCCCGCAACGAGCGCAACCCUUAAGCUUAGUUGCCAUCAUUAAGUUGGGCACUCUAAGUUGACUGCCGGUGACAAACCGGAGGAAGGUGGGGAUGACGUCAAAUCAUCAUGCCCCUUAUGAUUUGGGCUACACACGUGCUACAAUGGACAAUACAAAGGGCAGCGAAACCGCGAGGUCAAGCAAAUCCCAUAAAGUUGUUCUCAGUUCGGAUCGUAGUCUGCAACUCGACUACAUGAAGCUGGAAUCGCUAGUAAUCGUAGAUCAGCAUGCUACGGUGAAUACGUUCCCGGGUCU